CAGAGGGGGCAAGCGUUGUUCGGAAUUACUGGGCGUAAAGGGCGCGUAGGCGGCCCGCUAAGUCGAACGUGAAAUCCCCGAGCUCAACUCGGGAACUGCGUCCGAUACUGGCGGGCUUGAAUCCGGGAGAGGGAUGCGGAAUUCCAGGUGUAGCGGUGAAAUGCGUAGAUAUCUGGAGGAACACCGGUGGCGAAGGCGGCAUCCUGGACCGGCAUUGACGCUGAGGCGCGAAAGCUAGGGGGAGCAAAACGGGAUUAGAUACCCCGGUAGUCCUAGCCCUAAACGAUAGAAUGCUUGGUGUGGCGGGUAUCGAUCCCUGCCGUGCCGAAGCUAACGCAUUAAGCAUUCCGCCUGGGGAGUACGGUCGCAAGGCUGA
rnacentral:rRNA from 1 species